UACGAAGGGGGCUAGCGUUGUUCGGAAUUACUGGGCGUAAAGCGCACGUAGGCGGACUAUUAAGUCAGGGGUGAAAUCCCGGGGCUCAACCCCGGAACUGCCUUUGAUACUGGUAGUCUCGAGUCCGAGAGAGGUGAGUGGAAUUCCGAGUGUAGAGGUGAAAUUCGUAGAUAUUCGGAGGAACACCAGUGGCGAAGGCGGCUCACUGGCUCGGUACUGACGCUGAGGUGCGAAAGCGUGGGGAGCAAACAGG
rnacentral:rRNA from 1 species